GGCCUUGUGGUGAAUUUUCACACUGAAUUGCAAAUUCAGAGAAGUAGUUUAAUUCUGCCGGGGCUU
rnacentral:tRNA from 1 species